rfam:Gossypium hirsutum cultivar TM-1 chromosome 26, whole genome shotgun sequence
UGUUAAAAAUUUUAUCCAUUUAUACUAUUAAGAAUUGAUGUUGCUCAUGGAAUAACCAAACAGUAAUAUGUACGUAGCAUGCCUCGUGUACAUGAUGAUGUCUAGAAAUCAGUUUUUAACAGUAGAAAUGGAUGAAAUUUUUAACA